rnacentral:rRNA from 1 species
UUGGUUAAGUUAGAAAGGGCGCACGGUGGAUGCCUUGGCACUAGGAGCCGAAGAAGGACGGGACUAACACCGAUAUGCUUUGGGGAGCUGUACGUAAGCGUUGAUCCAGAGAUUUCCGAAUGGGGGAACCCACUAUCUUUAGUCGGAUAGUAUCCUUACGUGAAUACAUAGCGUGAGGAAGGCAGACCCAGGGAACUGAAACAUCUAAGUACCUGGAGGAAGAGAAAGAAAAAUCGAUUUCCUGAGUAGCGGCGAGCGAAACGGAAAGAGCCCAAACCAAGAAGCUUGCUUCUUGGGGUUGUAGGACACUCUAUACGGAGUUACAAAAGAAAGUUAUAAAUGAAGCGGUCUGGAAAGGCCCGCCAAAGACGGUAACAGCCCGGUAGUUGAAAUGGCUUUCCCUCCAGAGUGGAUCCUGAGUACGGCGGAACACGUGAAAUUCCGUCGGAAUCCGGGAGGACCAUCUCCCAAGGCUAAAUACUCCCUAGUGACCGAUAGUGAACCAGUACCGUGAGGGAAAGGUGAAAAGCACCCCGGAAGGGGAGUGAAACAGUUCCUGAAACCGUGUGCCUACAAGUAGUUAGAGCCCGUUAAUGGGUGAUAGCGUGCCUUUUGUAGAAUGAACCGGCGAGUUACGAUUUGUUGCAAGGUUAAGCGGAAAAAGCGGAGCCGUAGCGAAAGCGAGUCUGAAUAGGGCGCAUAAGUAACAGGUCGUAGACCCGAAACCAGGUGAUCUACCCAUGUCCAGGAUGAAGGUAAGGUAAUACUUACUGGAGGUCCGAACCCACGCACGUUGAAAAGUGCGGGGAUGAGGUGUGGGUAGCGGAGAAAUUCCAAUCGAACUUGGAGAUAGCUGGUUCUCUCCGAAAUAGCUUUAGGGCUAGCCUCGAGGUAAAGAGUCAUGGAGGUAGAGCACUGUUUGGACUAGGGGCCCUUCUCGGGUUACCGAAUUCAGAUAAACUCCGAAUGCCAUGUACUUAUACUCGGGAGUCAGACUGCGAGUGAUAAGAUCCGUAGUCGAAAGGGAAACAGCCCAGACCACCAGUUAAGGUCCCCAAAUAUAUGUUAAGUGGAAAAGGAUGUGGGGUUGCUUAGACAACCAGGAUGUUGGCUUAGAAGCAGCCACCAUUGAAAGAGUGCGUAAUAGCUCACUGGUCGAGUGACCCCGCGCCGAAAAUGUACCGGGGCUAAACAUAUUACCGAAACUGUGGAUGAACCUCUUUAGAGGUUCGUGGUAGGAGAGCGUUCUAAGGGCGGUGAAGUCAGACCGGAAGGACUGGUGGAGCGCUUAGAAGUGAGAAUGCCGGUAUGAGUAGCGAAAGAAGGGUGAGAAUCCCUUCCACCGAAUAUCUAAGGUUUCCUGAGGAAGGCUCGUCCGCUCAGGGUUAGUCGGGACCUAAGCCGAGGCCGAUAGGCGUAGGCGAUGGACAACAGGUAGAGAUUCCUGUACCAGUGCUAAUUGUUUAACCGAUGGGGUGACACAGAAGGAUAGGGAAUCGCACGAAUGGAAAUGUGCGUCCAAGCAGUGAGUGUGAGAAGUAGGCAAAUCCGCUUCUCGCGAAGCAUGAGCUGUGAUGGGGAAGGAAAUUAAGUACGGAAGUUCCUGAUUUCACGCUGUCAAGAAAAGCCUCUAGGAAGAGUAGUACUGCCCGUACCGCAAACCGACACAGGUAGAUGAGGAGAGAAUCCUAAGGUGAGCGAGAGAACUCUCGUUAAGGAACUCGGCAAAAUGACCCCGUAACUUCGGGAGAAGGGGUGCUCUAUUAGGGUGCAAGCCCGAGAGAGCCGCAGUGAAUAGGCCCAGGCGACUGUUUAGCAAAAACACAGGUCUCUGCAAAACCGUAAGGUGACGUAUAGGGGCUGACGCCUGCCCGGUGCUGGAAGGUUAAGAGGAGUGCUUAGCUUCGGCGAAGGUACGAAUUGAAGCCCCAGUAAACGGCGGCCGUAACUAUAACGGUCCUAAGGUAGCGAAAUUCCUUGUCGGGUAAGUUCCGACCCGCACGAAAGGCGCAACGAUCUGGGCACUGUCUCAACGAGAGACUCGGUGAAAUUAUAGUACCUGUGAAGAUGCAGGUUACCCGCGACAGGACGGAAAGACCCCGUGGAGCUUUACUGCAACCUGAUAUGGAAUGUUUGUACCGCUUGUACAGGAUAGGUAGGAGCCGAAGAGACGUGUGCGCUAGCAUACGAGGAGGCAAUGGUGGGAUACUACCCUGGCUGUA